CCUACGGGAGGCUGCAGUGGGGAAUAUUGGGCAAUGGGCGCAAGCCUGACCCAGCAACGCCGCGUGAAGGAAGAAGGCUUUCGGGUUGUAAACUUCUUUUCUCAGGGACGAAGCAAGUGACGGUACCUGAGGAAUAAGCCACGGCUAACUACGUGCCAGCAGCCGCGGUAAUACGUAGGUGGCAAGCGUGAUCCGGAUUUACUGGGUGUAAGGGGCGUGUAGGCGGGACUGCAAGUCAGAUGUGAAAACCAUGGGCUCAACCUGUGGCCUGCAUUUGAAACUGUAGUUCUUGAGUACUGGAGCGGCAGACGGAACUCCUAUUGUCGCCGUCAAAUGCGUAUAUCUUAGGAGGAUCACCAGUG
rnacentral:rRNA from 1 species